UGCGUAGACGGUAGCGUAAGUCGGGUGUGAAAGCCCCGGGCUCAACCUGGGAAUUGCAUUCGAGACUGCUCUGCUAGGGUGCGGAAGAGGGAAGCGGAAUUUCCGGUGUAGCGGUGAAAUGCGUAGAUAUCGGAAGGAACACCAGUGGCGAAAGCGGCUUCCUGGUCCAGCACCGACGUUCAGGCACGAAAGCGUGGGGAGCAAACA
rnacentral:rRNA from 1 species